AUUGAACGCUGGCGGCAUGCCUUACACAUGCAAGUCGAACGGCAGCACGGGGCAACCUGGUGGCGAGUGGCGAACGGGUGAGUAAUGCAUCGGAACGUACCUUUCAGUGGGGGAUAACGUAGCGAAAGUUACGCUAAUACCGCAUAUUCUGUGAGCAGGAAAGCAGGGGAUCGCAAGACCUUGCGCUGAUUGAGCGGCCGAUGUCAGAUUAGCUAGUUGGUGAGGUAAAGGCUCACCAAGGCGACGAUCUGUAGCGGGUCUGAGAGGAUGAUCCGCCACACUGGAACUGAGACACGGUCCAGACUCCUACGGGAGGCAGCAGUGGGGAAUUUUGGACAAUGGGGGCAACCCUGAUCCAGCCAUGCCGCGUGAGUGAAGAAGGCCUUCGGGUUGUAAAGCUCUUUCGGCCGGGAAGAAAUCGCACGGGCUAAUACCCUGUGUGGACGACGGUACCAGCAUAAGAAGCACCAGCUAACUACGUGCCAGCCGCCGCCGUAACAC
rnacentral:rRNA from 1 species